rnacentral:rRNA from 1 species
GAUGAACGCUGGCGGCGUGCCUAAUACAUGCAAGUCGAGCGAACAGACGAGGAGCUUGCUCCUCUGACGUUAGCGGCGGACGGGUGAGUAACACGUGGAUAACCUACCUAUAAGACUGGGAUAACUUCGGGAAACCGGAGCUAAUACCGGAUAAUAUAUUGAACCGCUUGGUUCAAUAGUGAAAGACGGUUUUGCUGUCACUUAUAGAUGGAUCCGCGCCGCAUUAGCUAGUUGGUAAGGUAACGGCUUACCAAGGCAACGAUGCGUAGCCGACCUGAGAGGGUGAUCGGCCACACUGGAACUGAGACACGGUCCAGACUCCUACGGGAGGCAGCAGUAGGGAAUCUUGCGCAAUGGGCGAAAGCCUGACGGAGCAACGCCGCGUGAGUGAUGAAGGUCUUCGGAUCGUAAAACUCUGUUAUUAGGGAAGAACAAAUGUGUAAGUAACUAUGCACGUCUUGACGGUACCUAAUCAGAAAGCCACGGCUAACUACGUG